rnacentral:rRNA from 1 species
UACGUAGGGUGCAAGCGUUGUCCGGAAUUAUUGGGCGUAAAGAGCUCGUAGGCGGUUUGUCGCGUCGGCUGUGAAAACUCGGGGCUCAACCCCGAGCCUGCAGUCGAUACGGGCAAACUAGAGUGUGGUAGGGGAGACUGGAAUUCCUGGUGUAGCGGUGAAAUGCGCAGAUAUCAGGAGGAACACCGGUGGCGAAGGCGGAUCUCUGGGCCAUUACUGACGCUGAGGAGCGAAAGCGUGGGGAGCGAACAGG